rnacentral:misc_RNA from 1 species
CAAACAUCUACCAUCAAGGGGAGAGAUGAUUCUGGUAAUGAAUCAGCAGAUGGAUUCAGCGUCAGUGAUAUUGAGGACGAGAGUAUUGUUGAUAGGUUGAAACGACAGAUUGAACAUGAUCAGAGAUACAUAAAUUCUCUAUACAAGGAACUGGAGGAAGAAAGGAGUGCAUCAGCCAUUGCCACUAAUCAGGCAAUGGCCAUGAUCACUAGGUUGCAAGAGGAGAAG